rnacentral:rRNA from 1 species
GACGAACGCUGGCGGCGUGCCUAAUACAUGCAAGUCGAACGCUGAAGGAGGAGCUUGCUUCUCCGGAUGAGUUGCGAACGGGUGAGUAACGCGUAGGUAACCUGCCUGGUAGCGGGGGAUAACUAUUGGAAACGAUAGCUAAUACCGCAUAACAGUAGCUAUCGCAUGAUAUCUGCUUGAAAGGUGCAAUUGCAUCACUACCAGAUGGACCUGCGUUGUAUUAGGUAGUUGGUGAGGUAACGGCUCACCAAGGCGACGAUACGUAGCCGACCUGAGAUGGGGAUCGGCCACACUGGGACUGAGACACGGCCCAUACGCCCACGGGAGGCAGCAGUAGGGAAUCUUCGGCAAUGGACGGAAGUCUUACCGAGCAACGCCGCGGGAGUGAAGAAGGAUUUCGGGUCGUAAAGCUCUGUUGUAAGAGAAGAACGAGUUUGAGAGUGGAAAGUUCACACUGUGACGGUAUCUUACCAGAAAGGGACGGCUAACUACGUG